CCUACGGGUGGCAGCAGUGAGGAAUAUUGGUCAAUGGGCGAGAGCCUGAACCAGCCAAGUCGCGUGAGGGAGUACUGCCCUAUGGGUUGUAAACCUCUUUUGUCGGGGAGCAAAAGCCGGACGUGUCCGGCUGUGAGAGUACCCGAAGAAAAAGCAUCGGCUAACUCCGUGCCAGCAGCCGCGGUAAUACGGAGGAUGCGAGCGUUAUCCGGAUUUAUUGGGUUUAAAGGGUGCGCAGGCGGAUUUUUAAGUCAGCGGUAAAAUCGUGGGGCUCAACCCCAUCCAGCCGUUGAAACUGGGGAUCUAGAGUGUGCGAGAGGUAUGCGGAAUGCGUGGUGUAGCGGUGAAAUGCAUAGAUAUCACGCAGAACGCCGAUUGCGAAGGCAGCAUACCGGUGCACAACUGACGCUCAGGCACGAAAGCGUGGGUAUCGAACAGGAUUAGAUACCCUGGUAGUC
rnacentral:rRNA from 1 species